UAGAGAAUGCCAAACCAAUGGGGAAGGGAGUGUCAGGUUUUCAUUUCAAUUCAGAUAGUCAAGAAAUUACUCUCUCUCUGAAUCAGGUGAGCAAAGUUCUGAAUGAGGUGAGAUAGCCAGGGCUGAGAAUCACCAUGGGGCAAAAUAUUAUUGAUGCCUUGCUUGUUUCAAAAACAGUAGGAAAGCAAGCAUGCUUAGAAUUAGUACUCAGGAAGAAUCACAGCAAGAGAAGAGCUGAGACAGAUAAAGACCUAUGUUAGAGGGAGUAUACUGAUGGUGCAGUACCUUAUAGGCUUACAGAAUCUUGCAGUAUCUUAUAAAACCCUGUAGACCAUUCUAAGGGCUUUGAAUUUUAAUCCUAGUGAAGUGGGAAGCAUUUGGGCUGAUAUGGUUCGGCUCUGCGUCCCCACCCAAAUCUCAUCUCAAAUUGGAACCCCCAUGUCUCCAGGGAGGGACCUGGUGGGAGGUGAUUGGAUCAUCAGGGUGAUUUCCCCCAUGCUGUUCUUGUGAUAAAGAGUGAAUUCUCUUGAGAUCUGAUGGCUUAAAAGUGGAAGAUUCCCUGCACUCACCCUCUCUCCUGCCGCUGUGAAAGAAGGUGCUUUCCUCUCCUUCGCCUUCCACCAUGAUUAUUUUACCCUGCAUAAGGUAAAUAAUAUAUAUUUACAGUUUCAUCUUUGGCAAAAAAAAAAAUGAAAAUGAAAAUCAGAUUUCACUCCUUUUCAAGAGAAUUCAGGAUAUACCAAGACUAAUCAGGACCUAAAGAACAAACUAUAAAAUACUGAAACACACCAUGCAAAUAUACGCACAUUACUCUGCUAAAUAUCGGAACCAAAGUAAUCUAUUUAGAGAAAAGGGGUGAGAGGUGGCCUUUUUACUAAUCUCCAAGAGUGCUUGUGAAUUAAUUCAAACCUGGUAAAAUCUUUCACUUGAAGGAAUCAAGGUUGUUAUGUUACGGGACCCUCCGUUAAAGAAACAGAGGCUUUGAAGUGGAGGUUUAUUCAUCCUUCCCCGGAUGGACUGGAAAAUUGGCAGUGCCCAGGUUCAUCACAGGACAGAUACUCAGGACAUGCUGAUCUCGGAGAGUUGAAGGAACAAAAAAA
rnacentral:lncRNA from 1 species